rnacentral:rRNA from 1 species
AUUGAACGCUGGCGGCAGGCCUAACACAUGCAAGUCGAACGAACCCUUCGGGGUUAGUGGCGGACGGGUGAGUAACACGUGGGAACGUGCCUUUAGGUUCGGAAUAACUCAGGGAAACUUGUGCUAAUACCGAAUGUGCCCUUCGGGGGAAAGAUUUAUCGCCUUUAGAGCGGCCCGCGUCUGAUUAGCUAGUUGGUGAGGUAAUGGCUCACCAAGGCUACGAUCAGUAGCUGGUCUGAGAGGAUGACCAGCCACAUUGGGACUGAGACACGGCCCAAACUCCGACGGGAGGCAGCAGUGGGGAAUCUUGCGCAAUGGGCGAAAGCCUGACGAAGCCAUGCCGCGUGGAUGAUGAAGGUCUUAGGAUUGUAAAAUCCUUUCACCGGUGAAGAUAAUGACUGUAGCCGGAGAAGAAGCCCCGGCUAACCUUGUGCCAGCCGCCGCCGUAAGAC